UACGUAGGGUGCAAGCGUUAAUCGGAAUUACUGGGCGUAAAGCGUGCGCAGGCGGUCUCGUAAGACAGGUGUGAAAUCCCCGGGCUUAACCUGGGAACUGCGCUUGUGACUGCGAGGCUGGAGUGCGGAAGAGGGAGGUGGAAUUCCACGUGUAGCAGUGAAAUGCGUAGAGAUGUGGAGGAACACCGAUGGCGAAGGCAGCCUCCUGGUCUAGCACUGACGCUCAUGCACGAAAGCGUGGGGAGCAAACAGG
rnacentral:rRNA from 1 species